CCUACGGGUGGCAGCAGUGAGGAAUAUUGGUCAAUGGACGCGAGACUGAACCAGCCAAGCCGCGUGAGGGAGGAAGGCACAGAGUAUUGUAAACUUCUUUUGUCCGGGAAUAAAUACUGAUACGCGUCUCCGGUUGAGAGUAUCGUACGAAUAAGCAUCGGCUAACUCCGUGCCAGCAGCCGCGGUAAUACGGAGGAUUCGAGCGUUAUCCGGAUUUAUUGGGUUUAAAGGGUGCGCAGGCGGUUGGAUAAGUUAGCGGUGAAAGCCCGGGGCUCAACCCCGGCACUGCCUUUGAUACUGGCAGGCUCGAGUUGAGGUGAGGUAUGCGGAAUGUACGGUGUAGCGGUGAAAUGCAUAGAGAUCACACAGAACACCGAUUGCGAAGGCAGCAUACC
rnacentral:rRNA from 1 species